rnacentral:rRNA from 1 species
UGGGGAAUCUUGGACAAUGGGGGCAACCCUGAUCCAGCCAUGCCGCGUGAGUGAUGAAGGCCUUAGGGUCGUAAAGCUCUUUCGCCUGUGAAGAUAAUGACGGUAGCAGGUAAAGAAACCCCGGCUAACUCCGUGCCAGCAGCCGCGGUAAUACGGAGGGGGUUAGCGUUGUUCGGAAUUACUGGGCGUAAAGCGCACGUAGGCGGACCAGAAAGUUGGGGGUGAAAUCCCGGGGGCUCAACCCCGGAACUGCCUCCAAAACUAUUGGUCUAGAGUUCGAGAGAGGUGAGUGGAAUUCCAAGUGUAGAGGUGAAAUUCGUAGAUAUUUGGAGGAACACCAGUGGCGAAGGCGGCUCACUGGCUCGAUACUGACGCUGAGGUGCGAAAGUGUGGGGAGCAAACAGGAUUAGAUACCCUGGUAGUCCACACCGUAAAACGAUGAAUGCCCAGUCGUCGGGUAGCAUGCUAUUCGGUGACACACCUAACGGAUUAAGCAUUCCGCCUGGGGAGUACGGUCGCAAGAUUAAAACC